rnacentral:lncRNA from 1 species
CUGGCAACAGUGUUGUUCCCACGGCCACAAGAAAGAUUGAUAGAGAAUUCAAUCCACUCAGGAAGUUCCGUGACCCGGAGUGCACUACAACAGUCAAGAAUGCGUCUUUCACUGGGGCAGCCUCACUGAGGCGCCUCGAGAGUUUGCCACUGACGCCAUCAGUGCCACCACUCAGGUGUCCCUUAUCACCGUUGCCACCGACAGGGCCUCCUGGGGCUUCUGAAGGCGUAGAAAGAUUGUUUUCCUGUGUCUGGUUCACUGCAGGGACUUUUGGUCCUGAAGGGUGUGUCAGCGUAUCUGCAUGGACCUCGGAAUCGGAAGGAUUCCCAUGAGUAUCAGACCCUGUCAAACCGUCUGUUGGCUCAGUUCCACCGCCACCCUGAGAAGAUGCUGACCCCUGCCCAGGGGAAUCUGAACCGUCCUCUGAAGCAGGGGGCUGAGCACCUGGAUUUCCAGACCCCUGAUGGGUCUCGUCACUUUCUGGCUGAUCAUUGGAUUCUGGACUUUCAGUAUCGUUUGGAAUAGACGUCGGCGGAGUCGGCGGGCGGGUUUCCGAAUCCGAGACAGCCGUUAGGACCGUUUUAAACCGGACACAAAAGCUCAGCCCUCCACUCAAGUACUCUGCAGGAGGAUUUCUAAACGUGUAUUUUACAGCUUUUCCCGCGGAUUCACGGUUUCGCUCCCAAGAUUCCUGCUCUUCGCGAAUCCAUAAUUUUGCCUUGUACCCUGGAAAAGCAUCCUUGAAUUCGAUUGUCUUAGUGAAAUCGCACGCUCCAUUCUCAUAUCGAUACGCGGCACUGUACGGUUCCGUCAAAGUUCCAUCUGAAUUCGUGCUUGUUUCAGGCUGGUAGGUAGCUUUGCCGGUUUCGUCAAUGACCCGCAGCGUGCAAGAUGGACCGAGAGAAAAUAUUUCUUCCACAUUCUUCUCGAGUCCCCCUUUCGGGAUAGCCGCAGUGAACUCGGUACCAGCUAUGGGCUCCUUUGUUUCAGACGCGGCACACGAUAGUAAGGUGCCGAUCAUGAGGGUCAGAUAUACUGCUGGAAACGUCUGGCCGGCCAUCGGGGCUACAAAUUUGUAUAGUUUGAAGAGAUCCCCCUAUACAAAAACAUGCGUAACUGCGUACACCUCGAAGGACACUGCAUGGAUGUAGGGUAUGGCACCAGCGGUGAGAAUGAUGUGUCACCACAGAAACAGCAGACACCACCAAAGCUACCUCAAGACAUACGCAAAGGUAACACGCAUUCCGCGGUUUUUUAAUGUUUUAUCACAAAUGCGCUUUGCCCCUUUUCAGAUUUCAAGACGCCCUGUCAUGAGGGACGUCAUCCAAUGAAUACGCCGCUUUUGCGGGUAGAGAUGUCCUCAGAGCCGGUGGGCGGUGGAAGGUCAAGACACUCGCUGGCGCGCGAAUUCGAAGGCAACAUGCGCUCUCGCUGCAGUGUCCAGAGCGUGUACAAAGUUAGUUUCAUUUCUAGUGUGUUGCGCUUAGUGAAGAAUAAUACGAAAAGAUUCCGUUUAUUUGCUCGUUUUCAGUAAGACGAGGUUAUUUUGGACUCAUCUGAUGCACGAUGCCUUUACUCUCUUUAUGGGCCCUUGUCAGGAGAAGGCAUCAAGAGUUCGAAGCCGCGAGCGGUUAACGAAGGGCCACUGGAGGAUGGUCUUACGGAUGGGGUGAAAUAUGCAGGCUCUGUAACUUUCUCCAGAACCAGUGCGAUAUGAAUGCGCAUCAGUCACCUGAAUUAAACCAGUUACAUGCAUGUGCAGUCGACAAUCGUCACAGAUUUGUGGGCAACGGUGGCACGUAACUGGACGCACGAUAGAGCUGCGGCAAAACAGUCGGGUUGGAGAAGCCGGCUGUAGGAUUGGCAGAAAAUGAAUAAAGGGUUCAGUCAGCACGGUCCUGCGUUCACUCAAGCUUCGUCACCAGACUGUGGCGCACAGUACUUCAAAUGUACUAAAUGUAAUGAAGUCGAAACAUGCAGAAGGCGUAGGGGACUGCUACGUGCAUACACACUGCAGCAUUUUUCAGCUUUGUUCCAUCUCACCGAUGGUACAAAAGGUGUUCGGCACCACGAAGAGUAUACGCUAACGUAAGAAAAAUGUUAAUUCCAUUGCUUGCCCCAAAGAGUGAUUUUUUGAUGCUGCCUUUUAAUGCAAAGUCUUGCAAGCAACGCAUAUGGACAUCACAGAGUGAGACUGCCGUGUAUUUGAGAAUUGUAGGGCUUUCUCCGCUGCUAAUUACUGUUCCAUGCUCUGUUGUUCACCUUGUUGUUAUCAACUACAGCAGCAACCAGAGUACGGGAUUUCUUAAUCGG